UGUUUCAUGGCACUUCGAGCAGAGGCGGACAUCAGGACCAGCUUUAGAUUGAUCAAUGUUAUUCCGAAUGCGUCCGUCCUUGCAUCACCUGACCCCUUGGUACAUUUCUAGAUCAGAAUCAGAAAUGUAAUGCACGACAUUACCAGAAUUAUUUAUGAAGUUUCCUAGUAAACGAUAUCUAUAAACCUCGUUCCUCCAAGUGGCCCAUAUAAUUUCCUUCAAGAAGUAAUGUGGUACGAACCGACGAGUCUGAAGUCCCCCUGCCUCAAGGCAUGCAACAAUUACAUGGGUGCAAGGUCUGUGAAGCAGUUUUGGCUUCUGGCAUGAACAAACACAUCCUUCAUUGCUAAGGAUGCACUCCUAUGUGUGAUUCUCACACCUCCCUCCCAAUCGACCUUUGUCCCUGCAAACAACCUCGAACCGGCAUUCAAUGACACCCACUUCAGUAAUACGAUGCUUAUGAGCCUUUUUAAUCAACUGCUCCAUGUACUCUGUCAUCUUGUAUCCAUAAAUUUUGUGAUUAUCGGCCAUUGAGUUAUCUGCCACCGCGUACCAUUCCCUAAAAUACUUCAUGGUGCGGUAUAAGAAGAAUUCCACGAUACCAACUAGGGGCAGUCCCCUAACACCAUGCAGGACCUAGUUGUACACCUUAGCUAGGUUUGUAAUCAUUAUACCCUACCUAGAACCUCCCUCGUCAUAGAGUAAUGCCUAUUUUUUCCUUCGGCUCAUGCUCAAUCCGCAGUGACAAUGUCUUAAUGGACCUACC
rnacentral:lncRNA from 1 species